AAAUCUUGUACUUUGUGAUUUCUAUGUUUGUCUUUUAAUGCUUAGAAAUCUUUCCUCAUCUUGUGAUUAAAAAAAAAAUUGUCCCAUGUUUCUUUCUCUUGUCUUUGGGUUUCAUUUUUAUGUUUAGUGCUAUGACACAUCAAAGAUGCAUUUAGUUUAGGUCUUUUUGUGGUGCUGGGGCUCAAUCCCAGGGCUUUGCACAUGCUAAGCAAGUGCUCUACCACUGAGAUGGGGACUGAUAUUGGCCAAUUAUGUUGCUCUAUUGUGUGUAUGUAUGAAUAUGUAACAAUAAAUCCCUUCAAUAUGUACAAUUAUAAUGCACCAAUUUAAAAAUGUGGGGAAAAUGAAAUUAGUUUUAAGUCAUGAAGUAAAUGUAGUUUCACAUUAAAUAUUUAAGUAAUUUUUGCCUUUUACAAAAACUAAGAUAUAACAGAUAUGUGUAUAUGUGUGUGUAAGAUGUUAUAAUGUGUGUUAUGUAUUUAUAAUACAAUAUAUUUGGUGAUAAUAUAUAAAUAUAUGUGUGCAUACAUAUAUACAAGAAUCUUAGAUAAAAUAUAGUAUACUAAUAAAUAUUUCCUAAUUAACUUUUUUUCCCCCUCUGUAUAACCACUUCAGGGUAAACAGUCUAUGAACACAGAGACCAGGCAAUUGUUCAGGGCAACAGUUUGCUUUGGUGUGGAACACUCUAGAGGCCCAGGGCCCUUCUUAACUCUUGCUUAUCCUUUAAGUGACCUUCAAGUUUUCUCUCUGUAUUUCAUGCUUUAUUGCAAUAGUUAGAACUUCCAUAAAAUGAUAAAUAGUAGUGAUGUCAAACAUCAGCAGCUGGUAUCUGAUUUUUCUUUCUUCUCUUUUGUGUUAGAGUACCCCUGGGUUCAAUCCCCAGCAAAACACACACACACACACACACACACACACACAUGACAAAGAAAUGGACAAUUAUACAUGGUGGUAAGAGAUACGAGGAAAUAAAGUAAAAUUGGGACAGCGAGAUUCAGAGUGAUUGAGGAGCAAGUCUACAGUUUCAAUGGUAAGGGAACACCUCCCUGAAGAUACCCCUUAGUGGGGAAUGAGACAUAAAUAAGACAAAAUUCCUGGCCAGUAAUGAUCAGGAGGAAUAGGAAUGAAUCAAUAAUAUGUUCAGAAGUGUUGAAGCCCAUGGUGUUGGGAAAGCAGGAGGAUGAUCACUAUGUCUGGUAGUUUAGUGAGUAAGGUACAGAGUGGGGGGGAUGGCAGCUGUAGUAGGAAAGAAAUACCAUGGAGGGGAAUUAAGAAGGAAAUAUUUAUAAGUAUAUCUAAGAUACAUGGAUGUAUACACACAUGUAUUUACAUAUAACCACCAACAGACAGUAUAUUGCAUUAUAAAUACAGGUGCAGUCAGACAUAGGUUUAAAAUUCCUAAAUUUGAUGAAAAAUAUGAAUUUACAAAUAUAUUAGGUUUUGAGGUAGUAUUAUAAGUGGUACAACAUUUUGGUACAUUUUUCUUUUAUAA
rnacentral:lncRNA from 1 species